AAUAGAUACCCCGGUAGUCCACGCCGUAAACGAUGAAUGUUAGCCGUCGGGGUGUUUACACUUCGGUGGCGCAGCUAACGCAUUAAACAUUCCGCCUGGGGAGUACGGUCGCAAGAUUAAAACUCAAAGGAAUUGACGGGGGCCCGCGACCAAGCGGCGGAGCAUGUGGUUUUAAUUCGAAGCAACGCGCAGAACCUUACCAGCUCUUGACAUGCCUAUGAAUGUUAGUGGAGACACUUUCAGCCUUUUCGGGGGCGUAGGACACAGGUGCUGCAUGGCUGUCGUCAGCUCGUGUCGUGAGAUGUUGGGUUAAGUCCCGCAACGAGCGCAACCCUCGCCUUUAGUUGCCAUCAUUUAGUUGGGCACUCUAAAGGGACUGCCAGUGAUAAGCUGGAGGAAGGUGGGGAUGACGUCAAGUCCUCAUGGCCCUUACGGGCUGGGCUACACAUGUGCUACAAUGGUGGUGACAGUGGGCAGCGAGACCGCGAGGUCGAGCUAAUCUCCAAAAGCCAUCUCAGUUCGGAUUG
rnacentral:rRNA from 1 species